rnacentral:rRNA from 1 species
CCUACGGGUGGCAGCAGUGGGGAAUAUUGGACAAUGGGGGCAACCCUGAUCCAGCCAUGCCGCGUGUGUGAAGAAGGCCCUCGGGUUGUAAAGCACUUUCAGUGAGGAAGAACGCCUGGUGGUUAAUACCCAUCAGGAAAGACAUCACUCACAGAAGAAGCACCGGCUAACGCCGGGCCAGCAGCCGCGGUAAUACGGAGGGUGCGAGCGUUAAUCGGAAUUACUGGGCGUAAAGCGCGCGUAGGUGGCUUGAUAAGCCGGUUGUGAAAGCCCCGGGCUCAACCUGGGAACGGCAUCCGGAACUGUCAAGCUAGAGUGCAGGAGAGGAAGGUAGAAUUCCCGGUGUAGCGGUGAAAUGCGUAGAGAUCGGGAGGAAUACCAGUGGCGAAGGCGGCCUUCUGGACUGACACUGACACUGAGGUGCGAAAGCGUGGGUAGCAAACAGGAUUAGAUACCCCGGUAGUC